rnacentral:rRNA from 1 species
AGGUGAGCUAAUACACGAUAGUCUCUCCGGAGUAAAGUUUUUCGCUUAGGGAAAGGCCUGUGAAGUAUCAGCUAGUUGGUGGUGUAAUGGACCACCAAGGCUAUGACGCUUAGGGGAGCUGAGAGGCUGACCCCCACCGAUGGGACUGAGACACGGCCCAUACACCUACGGGUGGCUGCAGUCGAGAAUCUUCCGCAAUGGACGAAAGUCUGACGGAGCGACGCCGCGUGGUGGAUGAAGUCCCUCGGGACGUAAACACCUUUUAUGAGGGAGGAAGUUUAUUGACGUUACCUCAUGAAUAAGGGGCUCCCAACUCUGUGCCAGCAGGAGCGGUAAUACAGAGGCCCCAAGCAUUAUCCGGAUUUACUGGGCGUAAAGGGUGCGUAGGCGGUUAUAUUAGUCGGGUGUUAAAUCCCAGGGCCCAACCCUGGAAUCGCAUCCGAAACGGUAUAACUAGAAUCAGUCAGAGGCAAGCAGAACUCUCGGUGUAGGGGUGAAAUCCGUUGAUAUCGAGGGGAAUACCAAAUGCGAAGGCAGCUUGCUGGGACUUGAUUGACGCUGAGGCACGAAAGCGUGGGUAGCGAAGCGGAUUAGAUACCCGCGUAGUCCACGCCCUAAACGCUGUCUGUUGGCUAUAGGGAGUAUCGACCCUCUCUGUGGCGAAGUUAACACGUUAAACAGACCGCCUGGGUAGUACGAUCGCAAGAUUAAAACUCAAAGGAAUAGACGGGGGCUCGCACAAGCGGUGGAUCAUGUGGCUUAAUUCGUAGCUAAGCGAAAAACCUUACCAAGGCUAGAAACUAUACUGCACGCUCCGGGAAACCGGAGAAGCCUUCGAGGGUGUAUAGCAGGUGAUGCAUGGCCGUCGUCAGUUCGUGGCUUGAGCUGUUCCCUUAAGUGGGGAAACGAACGCAACCCUCGUUGCCUGUUACAAGUGUCAGGCGAGACUGCUCCCUCACGGGAGAGGAAGGUGAGGAUGACGCCAGGUCAGCAUGUCCCUUGAUGCCUUGGGCUGCAC